rnacentral:siRNA from 1 species
ACCCCCCUUUUCUUCUUCUUCCUCUAGCCACCACCAUGCGUGACGACUCAAGCGGCAGCAUCGUCCACCAUUGCUGCUGCUUCCUCCAUGGCCGCGCAAGCUUCCGGCCAUCAGCUGGUUCUUCCUCGCUUGCCUCCUUGGGGCGCCAUUGGAUCAGGAAGAGGAGGCUGAAGACUUGCAGCAAGCGGUGCGCCCUUAUGUGAUGGCCCUAUCCCCACCGAGCUUUUCUUCCACCGCCCCUCCUCUCGUUCUAUUCUCGGAUGCUUCUUGCAUUAGAGGCAUUCUUUUCGUUUCGAUGAAUGAUAGUUAAGCGGUGUCUUCUUGACCUUGCAAGACUUUUCAUCGAAAAACACUCUUCUUCACUUUUCUCGUAAUAUCCUUGCCAACAUUUCUCGUCCUCUCGCGUCUAUCACUCCUCCCAUCUUCUUUGUCCCCGUCUAUCCCUCUUGAGCUUGUGACUUGUGUGCUAAGGUACUUUAGAUGUACUACUUUUGUUAUUAUAGAUGGCUAUGUAGUGAGUUGGUCUAUGUUUCUGAUAUAUCUUUUGAGUUAUGAAUCAAUUAGUUGUAUGGUCGUCACUCGUCAGUAGUUCCUUGCGUGGUGAUUGAUCUCUCUCUAUAUAUAUAUGCUCCUUGUUUUAUUGAUCCUAA